rnacentral:lncRNA from 1 species
CAUGAAAAUAAUUUGGAAAUUUUAUGUUUUUCUUAUGCUCUGGAAUAGUUGCAAUACCAUAAGGAUUUUCUAUUUUUUAAGGAUACAGUAGAAUGCCCCUGUGAAGCUAUCUGGGACUGAUACUGUUUGGGAGAUGGUUUUUCUGAUCUUUCAGGUACUCUCUGGGCCAACUCUCAACCAGAAACAUACAAGAACGGGCAUCUUAGGAGGUGACUUAAUGGAGUUGACACAGGACAAACUACCCCCAGGAUUUAGAAUCUGAGAGAAGAGGAAAGUAGUGAAGGGUCAGGGAAGACGUUCGGCUGCAGAAGUUGAGUGGGAGCCGUGGAAGAACCUGCCAACAUCAAAUACGAAACAGGACAGCAACAGCAAGCAGGGUUUGUUUAUUUAUUUACUCAUUUU